CACGCCCUAAACGAUGUCAACUGGUUGUUGGGUCUUCACUGACUCAGUAACGAAGCUAACGCGUGAAGUUGACCGCCUGGGGAGUACGGCCGCAAGGUUGAAACUCAAAGGAAUUGACGG
rnacentral:rRNA from 1 species